rnacentral:rRNA from 1 species
GUCUAUGGCCAUGCCACCCUGAACAAGCCCGAUCCUGUCUGAUCUCAGAAGCUAAGCAGGGUUGCGCCUGGUUAGUACUUGGAUGGGAGACCACCUAGGAAGACCAGGUGCUGUAGGCA